rnacentral:rRNA from 1 species
UGGACCCGCAAAGUCGACCCGGGGGAUUCAACCUGCCGUAGUACGGGACGAGCGGGGGCAAUUGCGGAGUCGCAAGGCCCGUGUCUUCGUUCGCUUCUCCGAACGGUCUGGUGCACUUUCUCCGGGCCGAGCGCCACGACCGGCUCGCACGACGGCCAGAAGCCUGGACGGGAAGGUGACUUGCCGCUUCCAGCUCCCUUCGCGGGGGGCGGGUGGCGGGAAGAGUUUAUAGCCCGACCAGCGCCGGCUCGUCGGCGGGCCGAGGAGGGUUUUCUGCCGUGUCUCAUCGCUUUCGGGCCAUCCGUUCACGUCCGACUCGGGAUGUACUGCUCGCAGUGCUCUCGGACUGCGUGUGCGGAAGGGUUCGUCUAGCGCGGGGCACCACGGGCCAGUGGCGAAUCGGUCGGUCCUCCACCC